UUUUUUUUAUAGUAUGCAUGAGAAACUCUUAAACAGAGAAGGAUAGGUAGACCUCCCCUCGCCAGAACUCAUGCUAAUUUCAGCGUACCUGAGACAACCACAUGCCUUUUGCCUUUGGCCAUAUCCUUGCCUCCAGGGGUCCUCCCUUAUAUCAUCUUAAGAUGUCUUCCAAACCAAACUUGAUGGUGACUUGGCCACUACACUGUUCUUUUUACAGGAUAAUUAACAUCUAGAAUUACGUCUAAAGUGUGAGCAUUCCCACUGAUAUCUUCAACGAAAACUAUGGAAAUUUUACGUGUUUUAUCUUACAUUUGCAUAUCUGUAGUAGUCUUGAUGACUGGACUGGGAGUGAUGUCAUAGUCAGAAAGGGAGGAAAAAAACACUCAAAGGUAGAUGAGGAUACUCUACUUUUGUGUGAUGUCCAAGAUUUUUACCCUGAAUCAGACUUGCAUCUGUUUGAAUCUCUAGUCUCAUUUUUUUAAUAUUAUUUUUCUGAUUUGUUUCCCUUGAAAUAUUUUUUUUGGUGACAAAUCCUCUACUGAUAUAAUUAAACAUACCGG
rnacentral:lncRNA from 1 species